AUUCAAAAGAUUCAGCCAGGAUUCGAACCCUUGUCGCUGUGAGCUUGGAGCCAACACAGACUACCCGAUGGACUAUCAGACAACUUCACCAAACCAAAGCUUGGAGCCAACACAGACUACCCGAUAGACUAACAGACAACUUCACCAAACAAAGUAAGUGCAACAACCGCCUCUACAUUUAUUGUCAAUGGGGAAGAUUCCAAAUCUACACAUGUUCAAUGGUGACACUGACAAAUUCCAACUUCCAACUUCCAAAUCCACACAUGUUCAAUGGUCACACUUCCAAAUUCCAACUUCCAAAUCUACAUAUGUUCAAUGGUGACACUGACAAAUUCCAACUUCCAACUUCCAAAUCUACAUGUGUUCAAUGGUGACACUCUUACAAAACUUCCAACUUCAGGACAUUUACCUACUUCCAGCUUCCAAAUCUACAUAUGUUAAAUGGUGACGCUGACAAAAAUUCUGACAAAACUUCCAACUUCAGGA
ensembl:lncRNA